CAGAGCCCUCACCCUGUGCCGGCUCGGCUGCGCCUCCGUUUCCAGCCGCAUCGGGCGGACUGGAGUCUGUCGAAUUCCUCAUUCAUUUUUGCUUAGGCCAACGCAGGUCAUCGUGGACCUCAAUAAAGAUGGCGGUAGCGCUUUACCCUGGUAACGGAAAGUCAUUUGCUAACAACCGGUCCUUUCCUUUCCGUGCCGCCCUGUCGGGGGGAAAAACUCCGGCGGGCCCCGGCGGCGGCGCCUUCGCGUUUUGUAGAAGCUGCGAGCGGGCGGCGUGAGCUGCGCAGAGAGUCGCGGCUGCGGACGGGAUGAGGGGCGCUCGACGUCAAGGCGCCCGCGUGCCCGAGGAGAUGGGGAGGCCGUGUGCUAGUGACCCCUGCCUAAGUUCCUGUUGUCCACGAGAGUCUUCCUUUGACUGCGACAAUUCCAGAGUGACACAUUUCUUUUGCCUCUGGGUUAUGAAGAAAUGAAGGCAGAAGGUGGGACGUUUGAUGCUGUUGUAGAACCAGAACUCUGGGGCACUGUUGCUGUGGCACAUGAAAUCCAGGAUUUAGCAAAAUGAAGGUGGAUAUCGCUGGACAGCACUUAAACUCCAACAGUAUACUGCGAGGCCUGUGGGACCCGUGAACAUAAGCCCCAUUGGCCACCAGAGCCAAGUGAUCAAGAAGUGUCCCCUGGGUAGCAACCACAGGGGCACCAGUUUAUUUCAGGAAAACUGACAUCCAAAGAAUAUCAAGAAACUCAAGUUUCCUGGACCCCAACUCCUUGGCUUCCUGGUGCCGGAGUGAACCAUCCAUCACGAAAGCAGACAACCAAGGACACUCACCUGCAGAUUCCCUUAUCUCGCCAACCCCCUCCCUGCAUGAGUCACAUUCCUCAUAACCUUUAAAACUCCUUGCCUCCUGGUCUUUUGGGGAGAUGAAUCUGAGUGCUUACUCGUUUCCCAGCUGCUUUUCAGUUUCAGGUAUUACAUUAAAGUCUUUAAUCUGUUUUGAAUUGACUUUUGUGUAUUGUGUAAGAUGAGGGUCCAGUUUCAUUCUUUUGUAGGUGUUUAUCCAGUUUCCUCAAUACCUUUUAUUGAAAAGACUAUCCUUUUCCAUUUGUGUAUUCUUGGCUUAUUUGUUGAAAAUUAAUGGAUCAGAUAUGCAUAGCUUUAUUUCUGGGCUCUCUAUUCUGUUUUGUUAAUCUGUGUCUGCUCUUAUGUCAGUACCAUAUUGUUUUGAUUACUAUAACUUUGUAAUAUAGUUUGAAAUUAGGAAGCGUGAUGCUUUCACUUUUGUUCUUCCU